rnacentral:rRNA from 1 species
GAUGAACGCUGGCGGCGUGCCUAAUACAUGCAAGUCGAGCGAACGGACGAGAAGCUUGCUUCUCUGAUGUUAGCGGCGGACGGGUGAGUAACACGUGGAUAACCUACCUAUAAGACUGGGAUAACUUCGGGAAACCGGAGCUAAUACCGGAUAAUAUUUUGAACCGCAUGGUUCAAAAGUGAAAGACGGUCUUGCUGUCACUUAUAGAUGGAUCCGCGCUGCAUUAGCUAGUUGGUAAGGUAACGGCUUACCAAGGCAACGAUGCAUAGCCGACCUGAGAGGGUGAUCGGCCACACUGGAACUGAGACACGGUCCAGACUCCUACGGGAGGCAGCAGUAGGGAAUCUUCCGCAAUGGGCGAAAGCCUGACGGAGCAACGCCGCGUGAGUGAUGAAGGUCUUCGGAUCGUAAAACUCUGUUAUUAGGGAAGAACAUAUGUGUAAGUAACUGUGCACAUCUUGACGGUACCUAAUCAGAAAGCCACGGCUAACUACGUGCCAGCAGCCGCGGUAAUACGUAGGUGGCAAGCGUUAUCCGGAAUUAUUGGGCGUAAAGCGCGCGUAGGCGGUUUUUUAAGUCUGAUGUGAAAGCCCACGGCUCAACCGUGGAGGGUCAUUGGAAACUGGAAAACUUGAGUGCAGAAGAGGAAAGUGGAAUUCCCUGUGUAGCGGUGAAAUGCGCAGAGAUAUGGAGGAACACCAGUGGCGAAGGCGACUUUCUGGUCUGUAACUGACGCUGAUGUGCGAAAGCGUGGGGAUCAAACAGGAUUAGAUACCCUGGUAGUCCACGCCGUAAACGAUGAGUGCUAAGUGUUAGGGAGUUUCCGCCCCUUAGUGCUGCAGCUAACGCAUUAAGCACUCCGCCUGGGGAGUACGACCGCAAGGUUGAAACUCAAAGGAAUUGACGGGGACCCGCACAAGCGGUGGAGCAUGUGGUUUAAUUCGAAGCAACGCGAGGAACCUUACCAAAUCUUGACAUCCUUUGACAACUCUAGAGAUAGAGCUUUCCCCUUCGGGGGACAAAGUGACAGGUGGUGCAUGGUUGUCGUCAGCUCGUGUCGUGAGAUGUUGGGUUAAGUCCCGCAACGAGCGCAACCCUUAAGCUUAGUUGCCAUCAUUAAGUUGGGCACUCUAAGUUGACUGCCGGUGACAAACCGGAGGAAGGUGGGGAUGACGUCAAAUCAUCAUGCCCCUUAUGAUUUGGGCUACACACGUGCUACAAUGGACAAUACAAAGGGCAGCGAAACCGUGAGGUCAAGCAAAUCCCAUAAAGUUGUUCUCAGUUCGGAUUGUAGUCUGCAACUCGACUACAUGAAGCUGGAAUCGCUAGUAAUCGUAGAUCAGCAUGCUACGGUGAAUACGUUCCCGGGUCU